AUGCAAGUCGAACGGCAGCGCGGGCUUCGGCCUGGCGGCGAGUGGCGAACGGGUGAGUAAUGCAUCGGAACGUGCCCAGUAGUGGGGGAUAGCCCGGCGAAAGCCGGAUUAAUACCGCAUACGACCUGAGGGUGAAAGCGGGGGACCGAAAGGCCUCGCGCUAUUGGAGCGGCCGAUGUCGGAUUAGCUAGUUGGUGGGGUAAAGGCUUACCAAGGCGACGAUCCGUAGCUGGUCUGAGAGGACGACCAGCCACACUGGGACUGAGACACGGCCCAGACUCCUACGGGAGGCAGCAGUGGGGAAUUUUGGACAAUGGGGGCAACCCUGAUCCAGCCAUGCCGCGUGCGGGAAGAAGGCCUUCGGGUUGUAAACCGCUUUUGUUCGGGAAGAAAUCCUCUGGGCUAAUACCCCGGGGGGAUGACGGUACCGGAAGAAUAAGCACCGGCCAACUACGUGCCAGCAGCCGCGGUAAUACGUAGGGUGCGAGCGUUAAUCGGAAUUACUGGGCGUAAAGCGUGCGCAGGCGGUUGUGCAAGACAGAUGUGAAAUCCCCGGGCUUAACCUGGGAACUGCAUUUGUGACUGCACGGCUAGAGUG
rnacentral:rRNA from 1 species